AUGGGCGCAAGCCUGAUCUAGCCAUGCCGCGUGAGUGAUGAAGGCCCUAGGGUCGUAAAGCUCUUUCGCCUGGGAAGAUAAUGACNGUACCUGGAGAAGAAACCCCGGCUAACUCCGUGCCAGCAGCCGCGGUAAUACGGAGGGGGUUAGCGUUGUUCGGAAUUACUGGGCGUAAAGCGCGCGUAGGCGGAUUGGAAAGUUGGGGGUGAAAUCCCGGGGCUCAACCCCGGAACUGCCUCUAAAACUACCGGUCUAGAGUUCGAGAGAGGUGAGUGGAAUUCCGAGUGUAGAGGUGAAAUUCGUAGAUAUUCGGAAGAACACCAGUGGCGAAGGCGGCUCACUGGCUCGAUACUGACGCUGAGGUGCGAAAGUGUGGGGAGCAAACAGGAUUAGAUACCCUGGUAGUCCACACCGUAAACGAUGAAUGCCAGUCGUCGGGUAGCAUGCUGUUCGGUGACACACCUAACGGAUUAAGCAUUCCGCCUGGGGAGUACGGUCGCAAGAUUAAAACUCA
rnacentral:rRNA from 1 species